GUUUCUCAUUUGUAAAAUGAAAAUAUUAUGGGCUUAUCAUCAGGAAGCUGGGGAAGUGAAGAAGAGGCAACCUUCUGGGAAAUUGAGAAACUGGUCUCACUGCCCUCAAGGUUUCUCUAAUGCCACCUGAACCCUGGUGAUGAUUCCAUACUUUACCUGACAACCCUGAAAACCUGUCACCACUCUCCUCUGGGACAGCAGGUUCUAUCGGAGCCAAGAUUUGACCAUGGCAAUGAAGCUGUACCCGUGUGGCUCUGCAAGAUAACCCACCUCUCUAAGUGAACAUAGGCAGGGGCUCUCCUGAGGACAGACGAUAAGUGUUCUGUUUCCUGGGCCAUGUUUCAAGGUUUUGUGUUAGCGAUGGGAUUUCCUCUGUUAUUUUGGUCUUCUACUCAAGAAAUACAAAGGCUUUUUGUUCAUAAAACUAUCUAAGGCCAUUUUCACAAUCCCUAAAUCGAUAAAAAUAAUUCAGCAGCAGAAUAUUAAUUUUCAGUAAUAUAUCUUCUAUUGAUUGUUUCCUUGGCAUACUUCCUGGUCUGGUGUGGCUCAGCGGUCAGCUCUGUACCCAAUGGCUGUGUGGUAAUGAGACUUAUCGAUAGCCUUCUAAUGCAUAAGAUUUCACCAUUAUCCAACUAGCCCGCGCCAGCCUUGCAUCAUGUUGUUUGCGGUUCUCUCCCUCCCGACCCAAACACAGCCCUAGACCAUGGCUAAGAAGCAGUUUACAGCCAUCAACUGCUUCAUUUGUAAAAUUAGGGCACUCACGUACUCCCCUGUAAAAUACUUGGAGAUGUUUUGAUAAAUUACAGCCUAGGUACACAAUUCCAGUAUUGAUUCCUAAAGUCACCAGGUUCUCUACCCACCCCUACUGCAUUUGCA
rnacentral:lncRNA from 1 species